rnacentral:misc_RNA from 1 species
UUGUGGAGGAGGACGCCGAAGGUGGGGCUAAUGACUGGGGUGAAGUCGUAACAAGGUAGCCGUACCGGAAGGUGCGGCUGGAUCACCUCCUAACAGGGAGACAACAAAAUGUUUAAUAUUAUUAUUUUGUCACCUUAGGUCGAUCGGUAUCUCACGUUCUUAAUUAAGAAUUUCAUUUCCUAAGUUUUUCUAGGUCACACCCAUUAUUUUUCCUGGGCCAUUAGCUCAGGUGGUUAGAGCGCACCCCUGAUAAGGGUGAGGUCCCUGGUUCAAGUCCAGGAUGGCCCAUAUCUCUAUAUUGGGGGUAUAGCUCAGUUGGUAGAGCGCCUGCUUUGCAAGCAGGAUGUCAGCGGUUCGAGUCCGCUUACCUCCACUGAUUACCACCUCUUCCAUAAUCUGUAGAAAGGAAAUUUUUUUGAGUUGUGAUCAAAUUCUGAACGAAUCUAGCUUCCUAAUGAAAGUAUUAAGAUGCUGGACUCAUUGAAUUAAUUUCAUUGUUUUCAGAGAACCUUGACAACUGCAUAGAUUUUUUUUAAAGACAAUAAGCAUCUUUAAUGAUGCAGAUUUAUUAUUUGUGCGAAUGCAUUAAUAACAAUUCUAUUAAGCUGAUGCUUCAAUUUUGAAGUUAUUGGUCAAGCUACAA